CUCCUUUUUCUAAUCAGUGAAACUAAUCUUCNNNNNAAGAAGCGGGAAUAUCCCCAUAAGACGAGAAGACCCCAUGGAGCUUCAAACCCAAUUACACCCCUAACCCCUAUAACUACUUAACCCUUAGGAUUCUGUAUUAUUGGUUUUAGGUUGGGGCGACCACGGAGUACAACAAAACCUCCACAAUGAACGGAACUACUUCCUCAUCUGAGAGCUACAUCUCUAAGAAUUAAAAUAUUAACAUAAAAUGAUCCAUUUUUGAUCAAUGAACCAAGUUACCCUGGGGAUAACAGCGCAAUCCAUUUCAAGAGCCCCUAUCGACAAAUGGG
rnacentral:rRNA from 1 species